AAGACUAUACUUUCAGGGUUCAUUUCUAUAGUUCGCUAGUAGAGAAGUUUCUCUGAAUGUGUAGAGUACUGACAAAAGAGCUUCUGCACAGUAAAAGACACUAUCAGA
rnacentral:snoRNA from 1 species